CAUCUGAUGUUUUUAUUGUAGCUCUGUAUGACUUUGUUUUCAGUUGCAGACGCCAAUAGCAAUCUACUUAAAAGACUCCUGGAUCUUCAAAGGAAAAAGCACUAAGUUGUAUCAUCUGGGCACACUAUCCUUCCAACACGUGACUUCCGCUUUCCUGAAAGAGUCAACUUGGAUUGGUACAAGAUCGUGCCGGAGAUU